rnacentral:lncRNA from 1 species
UGAAUUUUCCUUCCAGAUAUCUUUGCAACAAGUGCCUGCUACAAAUCAAGGCGAGUUGGAGGAGUGGGCUUAUGUUCUCCAAAUAAGUGUGGGAGACCUACAGGGUCAGACAACGUAGCAGCAGCAGAUGAACUUGGAGUUUCUUUUAAUUUCCUCUCAAUCACAGGCAAAUGAAGUCUCCAUCCUACACUUGGGGUCCUGCAUGCAUGGGUGAAGACACCAGCACACGGUGAGAGCACAGUCAACACUCAAAAAGAGAGAGCCACAGAAGACUCCCCUGCGGGCUUGGGUCAGAGGCUCAAGGCCCCUAAGGACCUAGGGAAUUCUGAGAUUCUGGGGACUCAGAUGGGCUCUAGGUGAGCAUCUCUCUUUAAUUCUUCAGGCUCUUCCCCCCAUGGGAG